rnacentral:lncRNA from 1 species
GACAAGGCUUUAUUCUGAGGUCUGGGCUGGCCUUACCUUCCAGCAACCCUCAUGCCUGCUUUGGAUUCACAGGGGCUGUGGUUACAGGAAUCCAAAAAUAAAUGUAACCCACAAACAGUUUUCAGAACAGCCAUCAAGUUCCGAUCUGCUGAUGCCAUUAAUUAUAAGUGAGUCAGAGGCAGGAGGAGGUUCAACAGCGGAGCCUUUUUAAGGAAAAUGGAAUCCUUUUCGUUCCAGAAAUUCUGUGGAGGAAUUCCCCCCUGCAUUUCUGACUGGUCAUCUCCUGGGGAAUUCUCUGUAACUGGAAAUGAUCCCGGAAAACCAGGAACAGCUGCAUUGUAGGUACUGAUGGCCUCUACAGUCCCCAGCUGCACCCAGCCCUCCACCGGGCCACCAGGGGGUCCCAGAGGGGAGGCUGGUCCAAGGCAAACAUCAUGGGGCCCUGGCUUCCAUUUUCAGAGGGACUGUGUUAAUCACCAGUAAAGCACACUGCGUUUUUUACAGAAAGGAUAUUACUGAAAACAAUUAGUCUUGAUUUUUUUUUUCUUUUUUGCUGCUUCUAACCAAUAGCCAAAAGGUUGACAACCAAUUUAAACAUACCCACUUCACUGGGAAAAUACCCAAAGGCACCUGUAUAGAGUUUGGAUGUCAGUGGGUCAGAACAUGAACUGCACCUCCAGAAACCCCAGCUUGCUAGCAGCGCCCGCAAAGGAUGCCCCAUAAGGGCCUAUAACUCCAUGGGAGCCAACACCUCUGGGUUCUGUGAGCACUUGUAUUCAUACUUAAAAUAAAUAAAUACAUCUUUGGAAUAAAGGCUUAGUAACUCCACACACAAAGCCUGGCCUGGUAUGUUUCCUGAAAUAUGCUCCGACGAGACAGAGGCUCCAUAGUCUUUUCUCAGAAAAAUAGAGAGAUUGUCAAUAAUCAAGUCUAAGCCACACUGGGGAGGCAGGGGCAGGCAAAUACCUGAGAGUUCAAGGUCUCCUAAAGGGACAGUCAUUUAACUGUGGACUUGUGACUUGCCACCCCAUAACAGCCCACACAUCCCUUUGUGUUGUUCUUAUUCAGGAACCUUGUGUGUGUUGAGAGUCACCAUCUCCUUUAACUUUUCAUCUGCUCCUUAGCAUCUUCCUGGUUCCAGGCACAGCACUCCAGCUCCAACCGUGAAUGAGCAAGCUUGGAUGUCUUCCCAUUCCAAAGGGACCAGAGCCACAGAUUCCAUUACACUGCAGUACCUCUGGGUGGCAGAGGGAUAGAAGUGCUAAGUGAGCCCAGGAAAGGAUGUGUGUUAGCUGUCUAGACCAGGCUGGCCUUAAACUCAGAGAGACCCACCUGCCUCUGCCCCCUGAGUGCUGGGAUUGCAAGUGUAUACCCAGCAGCAUCCACAGUUUGCAAAGGUCAGCCCUUCUCUAAGCCAGCAAUGCAUGACCUGGGCUAGUCUGAGAAGAAACAGAAGAGAAGGAAAGAAAGGGGGAACAGGAAAACCCCCAAAUUCCAGUGAGCUUUUGUCCUAAGGAAUGGUUUCCUUCUGCCAGCAGAAAUGAGGAUGGACAAUCUAAUUGAAUUCAAUUAAGAGAAGCAUCGACAUUUCGGCACUUUGGCACAUUCAAGGGAUUACCCCGAGGUUCAGGAGCGGAGCGCACCAGCGCACAGGACUCCUUCAAACCCAGUUUCCGGGAUGGAAGCUUAGUGCAGUGGUGGAACCCUUGCCUCCAGAUACAAAGCCUUGAAUUGAUCCCUGGUGUCAUGCAAGAAAAGGAGGGGAGGGGAAGGGAGUAGGAGCAGGAGAAGGAAGAGAAGUGAGAGGAAGAUUCAACUCGUUGCUGCCCAAGCCUUCUUGUCCCUUUCUGAUACUGAGAUAAAACACUCAGGAAAAAAAAAAAAAAACUCACCCCUGAGUUCCAUCCCCAGGACCCACAGAGUGGAGAGAACUAAAUCCCACAGUUGUCUUCUGAUCUCCAUGUGCACGCGUGCACGCGCACACACACACACACACACACAUCACCCUUAAAACCAUCCUAAACAACUACUAAUCUGUUUCCUGUCUCUGUGGGCUUGCUGAUUUGAGACAUUUCCUUUAAAUAGACUUUCGUGAUGUUUUCAAGCCUCAUUCAUAUUAUAACACCUAUCAGGUACUUCAUUCUCUGUGGAUGGCUUAAUAACGCUCUAUUGUAAGGACAGAGCACAUUUCCCCUUCACUAAUCCACAGACAUUUGACUCGUUUCUGUUUCUGUGAGCGGCCAUAUCCACAUUUUGUAUGGAUUAUAGGUUUUGUUUCUCAUGGGUAAUUGUCUAGGGUAGAAUUGCUAGAUCAUCUCUAUUAGGUUUUUAAUUUUAUUUGUAAUUAUGCUAUGCUGGGUAGGUGCAGAUAUGCAGGUGAGUGCCGUGCCAGAGGAGGCCAGAAGAGGGCAUCAGUUCUCCUGGACCUACAGUUACAGGCAGUUGUAAUCUCCUUGCUGACCAUGGGUGCUGGGAAUUAAACUGGGGUCCCCUCCAAGGGCAGUACACCCUCUUAACCCCUGAGUCACCUCUUCUAGCCCUCGUGUAUGUUACUUAGACUCCCUAUGUCGGCCCCAUUCCCUUAUCCACUUUCUAAUGACUAUUUGUGUGCUCAUUUCUGAAGCUAGCUGAUUUCCCACCCAGUAAUGUCUGAAUUCCAUA